rnacentral:rRNA from 1 species
AUAAAAAGAAAUUUAUUUCUGUUUGAAAAAAACCAUAUACAAUUAAAGAAAAGAAGACCCUAUAAGCUUUUUAAAACUUCCGCUCCCCUAUCCCGAGUUUUAUUUGGUUGGGGCGACCAAAAGAAUAAAACACUUAAAAUAAUAAUAGAGAUAUACCUCCUAUAUAAUUAGCCAUAAACAUAUAAGCAGUUACUGUAGGGAUAACAGGCUAAUAUUUCCCAAGAGUACGCAUCAACGGAAAUGAUUGGCACCUCCAUGUUGGCUUAGGGUGUCUAUUUCAUGUAGAAGUGAAAUAAGAAGGUUUGUUCAACCAUUAAUCCCC